GAGCCGCCAGGCGCCCGCUGAUGGGAGCGUGCUAGACCUGCCCCAUCCGGGACGGCCGCCACUAGCCACGUGGGCUGGAGGAACUGAACUUUUGAUUGUAUUUAACUUGUAAUUAACUCGAAUUUAGCCAUGCGUGGCUAGUGGUUGCCAGCCGGGCAGUGCAGUUUUAGAACACUCCCCGGUCUCCCCGUUCUAGGCUCUGCGUCUCACCUUCUCCCCCCGCUGAUCCUGUGGGCCCCUCCCAGCAUGGCCGAGGGGACCGCUCUAGCCUGCCUCUGCCACUCUUGCCUGAUAGCUUGGUUUGGACCUACCUCCCCACCCCGACUUCUACGCUGUUCUCAGACACUGUGCGUGGCCUCCAGGAGGAGGAGACAGUCCUGCUUCCAGCCAAGGCCCUGUUGGCCCCUCCUGGCUUUCCCCCGGGGGACAGUGCUGCCCUGAGGGCUCACUGAUGGCUUGGGAGUGAGGAGGGCAGGGCGCAUCCUGGGCAUGGCCGGUCACAUGAACGAAUGCCUCUUCUCCCACAGGACCAGCUGCACCGGCUCUUGUGGGCGCCCCGGAGAGCAGGACAAGCAGAAGGUUCCGGGUACGUGGUCCAAAGGACAUCCCCGAACGUGACAUUUAGGACGAUCCAUUUCUCCCACGACGACUUCUCCAAGUGCACACAUAAUAAAUAAAUAGAAAACACAUCUUUGUUCGUGGCAACACCUAUGAGAAAUGUUUACGAACAAAACAUCUAAUUCCCGAAAAAGGACCAGCCGUUUCGGCAACAGGAAAGAGACCAGCAUUUCAGGGGAGUGUGGCUCGCCCUAGAGGGCCUAACUCACUUGGACGCCGACAGACAGAACCGUGGGAGCGAUUUUCCAGGCGGUGAGAAAACGUGUGCCGCCAAGAGCACGCCGGGCCCCUGGCUCUUGCUGGCCGGCGUCGGAGGGAGAGUGCGCGCACGGACCCUGAGCUGCUGGGCGUGUGUACGACUCUGAGCAUUUUCAAACAGAUACGCUCUCUGAAGCCAACCGAACCAAAGACUGUCCACACUCCCGGCCACCGGAAGCGACCCCACCCUAGCUGGUUCACAGUGUGAGACCCUCGCGACGACAGAGUUUGAAAAACUCAACAGAACUGCAGACGGGGACGUGAGGUCACGACUCCCCUCCCCACCCGUCGCCGGGAAUCUGCGUGGAAGAGGUUUCUUCCGGGAGCACGGCCCCUGCCGUGUCCCACCUUCGCCUCCCAGCAGCUCGACGGACCGUGCUCCGGGAAACCGCUCUGGCAGUCGGCUCAGCCUGGGGAGGGGACCCCUCCCGAGGGCCGCGGCUGCAGAGGGGCAGAGAAGGCCGUCUUCGAAGGAAGAGUUGCCAAGAGUGUGUGGUUGGCGCAGGAAAGGGGGAGAUGCAGCUCGGCGUGACCCUGGGGCCCCCCGGGAGAGUGUGAACCCCAGAAGGGGUCCCCUCCCUCAGGAGCUCUCUGAGCUCCCUGCGGGGCGGAGGGUGGGCGAGGCAGACAGCUCAGGGGUCAGCGGUAGCUGCGAGCCCCCGACCCCAGCAGCCGAGCCGGCUCACCCAAAGCGUUGACGCGAGCCUGCCACUGUGCCCUGGGCCGCACCUGUGCACCUGCACUCGGGUAGCACCAGCGGGACGGCCGUGGCCACCAGGACAAGCGGGGGCCUCAGGGCCGCCCCAACCCGCGGGGCGGGCCGCGGGCCUGGAGGGAAACAGCCAUCGGCCAAUUCUCUCUAUUCUGAUGACUUUUUCAGGGGACUCGUCCCCGUUCGGGGGGCUCCGGCGGGAGCGCCCGGGGCCGGUUGUGGAGGCAAUGUGGUGUGGUGGCAGGUGCUGGGCGGGGGCCUCUCGGCCCGGACCCGGCCUGGCCGCGUGGUUCUUCCCCAUCUCGGGGUCUCACACGCCCCCUCCGUGAAAGGAGGGUCUUGGACUGGACGUACCCUAAGGUCCUCUCCGACUCUGAAACCUCGGGCUCCUGAGGCCGCGUCCUGACCCACCCGAGCACGCGGGAUCCUGGCCCCGUCUUCUUCUGAGCCCGCCCGUCCUGCAGCCUGCGAGCCCGGACCCCAGGCCGGACCUCCCGCAGCUCCGCCCUCACGGCCCGGGGUGCCCAGCCACACGGCACCCUCGUGUCUGCCGCUGGCUUCCGCGUGCAGUGUGGUCUCAGAACGCAGAGGGCCUCUAAAAGUCACCUCGUCCCCCCCCCCCAUCCCGGGACCCGAGGCCUCCUGAACGGUCGGGUGAACCCUCCAGAGGCAGGGCUCGCCCGUCCCCCGAGGGGAGCUGGUCCCAUCCUGGCCGGCUGCAUCUACACGCCGGCUCCCGACCCCUUGAAGGUUGGUGUCUGCUCAUGGCUCCCUUUCCCCCGUAUCGACCAGCCUGCCGUGCACGCUGGAGAGCGCGGGGUCUGUGAACGGCUGGGUCAGGGCUCCUGCCGCCAGUGCAGCUCGGGUCUCCUUGCGUGGCCCCCACGCCCCCCCACUGAAGAGGCACAGGUAGGAGAGAAGCACCCGAGAGGCUGCAGGAAGGAAGGUUUCCAGCGCGGUCGGCUGCCCCCUGGGGGCCGCAGGGAGACGCUGGAGUGGGGGCGGGUGGCCGCGCCAGGGUCUCUGAUACCCUCCCCCCCCGCCCAUCAGGGCUGCCCCGGCCCUUCCCAGGGGGAGCCAGCCGUCCCGCCUGGCCCACGGCCAAGAGUCCACCGUCCACUGUGGAGCGACACGAGGUGGCUGGCGUCCUCACAGUUUCUUCUUCCUCACCACGGGGAUGGGCACCACUUGGAAGAUUUUGGCACCGUGGUCCUCGGUGUCCAGAGUCACCCAGGUGGGCCGGAAGCUCCCUUUGAAGCCAACGAAUGCCAUUUUCUCUGGAAAGCAGGGCCAGCGAGGCCCUGACCCUCUCUGAAGCCCAGCGUCCCCCGUCAGCCAGUCACACGAGGGAUGACGCUCAGCUACAGGACCUCUCCCGGCUCCAACGUGUCGUGGCUUUGGAAGGACUCCGUCCAAGGGUUCAGAGAUGGCGUGGCAGCUGAGCUCUGGGUUAGAAGCGUUCGGAUCCAAAUUCUAAUCUUGGGCAAGUUACUUAAGCGUCUGGUUCCAUCCCAGACGGAAGCAACGGCACCGUGACCCGUGAACGCGCGGCAAUCGCGGCGAGCUCAGCAGGUGCACAGCCGGGCACCACGCGUGGACCCCAGCGGACGUUAGCGUCUGCGGGCUUGUUCCGCCUCCCUCCCAGCCUCCCCUGGGCUCCGCGGUGACAGUGACGAGGGUCAUGCUGGGCGGGCUUCCGUGUGGGGUCUGCGCUGGGCUUCACCGCAGAAGCACCGAGGGACCUCGGACAAGCCGCAGAGAUGCCUCGGGCUUUCGUUUCUCCGUCCCUCCCUACCUGGGCGUAUGAGUGUCCAGCCCCCCGGAACAUGGAGGAUGAGGCAGAGCCCCGCCCGUCCCUGUAGCGGGAGCUGGGACGGGGGCAGAUCAAGCCACUUUCCUGCUGAUGCUUUGGUUUAAGGAGAAGGGGAGGGGGCCCGUGCUGAGCGGACGGGCGAACAACUCAGGAAGUGGCUUCCCGUGUCUGCUCACACGUUGGGAGGAGGCUGCUGGCGUGUAGGGAUGGUGAACGGGCGGCAUCCGGCCCGCACGUCCCGGAAGGCCACCUAGUGUCGAGGACCCUGGGGUCUCGUGGGGAGCACCGUGGUCUCGGCAAGAGGUAGCAGCAGCCCGCACACCAGGCAUCUGGACUUACAGUCAGUGUAGACCCCUGGUCUGGAUCGCUCACCUUUCAACCGGAGGCUCUUAUCUGCACCGAGCUUUUCCAGCACUCUGGUCCACAGGCCCCUGGACGUGUAUCGUCCCUUCGACACCACGAGCACAAUGGAGCUGCACGAGAGGAGGUGUCAGGCCAGGAGGGGAGAGCAGGUAGGGUGGGGGCAGUCAGCAGCGCCCAGAGGCCCGGCUGCGGGUUUGGGGAAAGGCCGCCUGUCCCUCGGGCCGAGCGGACCGGCUCUUUCCACGCUUGACCCACAUCCUGGCCUCCCUCCCACACCUCUGGCCGCAGUCGGCACCCGGGGACCUCCCCACACCUGCUCUCGGCUCGCUCGCUGCCUGCACGCGUGUCUGUCCCCAGAGAGGACGGGGUAGGUGCACGGAGGAGGGACUUCGGCUCGGCGUUUAUUAACGCGAAUGUCCUCAGCCCGUUGGGUUGGGACCAGACAGAAACAUGGCGGGAGAGCAAGCCAGAAGCUGGGGUCACCGCGUGCUUGGGGAGUGUUAACCUCCGCGUUCACGUCACUUUCUGCCCGGUGUGCACAUGGGAGAUUGGGGCGAGUUUACUAGGCCCAAGGGGAGUCGUGCUCGGAGGCGGGGCGCAGGGGCCUGGAGCGAGGCGUGCGCCCAGCCGGACGGGCCCGACUUGCAGAAGCCCAGCUUGGGGGCCCGGCGAGACUCUCUGCUCCCGGCCUUGGUCGUGUUCAGGCCCACGUGUUGGGAACACAGCCUCAAGGUGGCAGACCCCGCGGGGCCGGGACGGACAGGCGAGGUGAGCGCCUCCCCCCAGGAACAGCAGCCCAACGGGCUCCCGGCUCACAUCUCCCAGGAAUCCCAUAACCACAGACCACAGUCCAGACGCGGAAAAACCAGACAGGGUUCUGGAAGCCAUGGUCACCCCCGUUUGUGUCCCUUCGGGAGCAGAAGGAACACCCUUCAGAUGCACCGGGCUCGUCAGCCCUAGGGACAGGGAGGGGAGCCGGGGCUGCCUGGGGACGAGGCCCCAGGGGACGGCAAGGUGAAGCCAGCAGAGAGAGGGAGCAUCGCGCACUUGUUCUCGGCACUGGGCUCGGGCGCCGUUCCCAGGAGGCCAUUUCGUCAUCGUUCCAGUUCGGAGGAAAAGCUCACGUCCCUUUGGCACAGCUAAGCCUCGCCGCUCGGGGGAACCCAGACAAAGGUCGUGCCCUCUAGACUGGGGUCUGGGCUAGCUCCCAGGAGCGGGACGCAGACGGGGCUCCUCGUGCGUCACGGCAUCCUGAUGGGGCCAGAAGCCUGCACGCUCGGAGGUGUCCCUGUCUGCCCCGUGUGGGACUGUCCCGGCCUGCGAACGCCUACACUCGUCAGCACGGGGUUUGGUGGCAGGGCAGAGGCCGCUCCGACGAGCCACCCGGACUUCCCACCGUGCCAGGUCGUGGCCCCUGAGAGCGAGUUCUACCCCCCCAUUUAGCGAGAAACGCAAAACCGAGUUAGACGUGGCCCCGACGCGAGGAAGCGCGGGCCCUCGCCCGGGAACGGCCGCAUCCCCGGCCCCGGGGCUGCUGAGACUCGUGUGUUAGUAGAGGCAGAACUUUGUGGUUGCGUUGGAAGAGACCUCGCCAAAGAGGUGCGCGUUAGAUUGGGAAGGUGCCGGGAAUUACCAGGGAUUUCUAGGAAAGGGCACAGGAGGUGCUGGGAGGAGUUCAAGCCAGCAGCUGGCAGGGAGGCCGGGUCAGGCUGGGGCAGCAGAGGCCUGGCCCGUCAGGAGGUUGAGCCGGAGGGCCUGCUUCGCAGCCACAGACAGGCCCGGCCGGAGGGCGAGCCGGCAGGUGGGGGGCCGGGACCCGGUCACAGAGGAGGAAGGGACGGGGGGAGUCACGCAGGACGCCCAGACCGUGGUCCAGCCGUCCGCAGGGUUCAGGCCCACGAACCGAAACACGGGGAACGGGAGGAGGGGCCGGGCCGGGAGGCGACGGCCAAGGGCGAGGUUGGGUUCCACGGGAGACUUGUAGCCUGUCAGACGUGGCGGUGCCGGGAGAGGUGUGGGCCGGAGAACUUAAGAGCCACCGGCACUUGGAUCGCAUCGAAAGCGUGGGCGGGGUGAGCUCAUGCUGGGAAAGCGUGUCGUGGCCGGGGAACGAGGCCAGGGCCAGGCUUCCCACUUGUAAGCGGGCAGCCCGGCCGCCUCGGCCUGACCUACAUUCUCCGCCCCGCGCCCGUUAGGUCGUCGGAGGCGCGGGCAGACCUCGAACGCGCCCUCGGCGCCCCCAGACCGGACGCGAUAGGGUGGUGGGGGGACGCGCGCAGACUCACUUGUCGGGGAUGGCCGCCACAUGACUGAACAGCUGCCACGGGACGCCCUGCAGCAUGGUGCUGCUGAAGCUCGUGUGGCUCACCACGUGCCCGCGGCUGCCGUCGAUCGCCACCAUCUGGAUGCCGUCCUCGGAGCUGGGGUACCUCGUCCCGUCCACCUGCAGGCCCAAAGCAGCACCGCUGGGAGCGGGCUCGGGGCGCCCACCUGGACCCUGAAGCCGGGCGGUCCGUGCAGCCGCUCAGAGCACAAAACCCUCUCCGAGCGGCUCUCCGGGGCCCUCUGUGUGGGUGGGCGCUGGGAAAGGGACCUUACUUGGCUGGAAGGUCUGCGCGGAUGCAAUUAAGUUAAGGAUCUUGAGAUGAGGUCAUUCUGGAUUUAGGGCCCGUCCUAAAUCCGGCGAUGGGUGUCCUCGUAGGAGGAAGGAAGGGGGGGUGAGGCCCAGACACCCAGGGUGAAGGCCGUGCGAGGACAGAGGCAGAUGCUGGGGGCGGGGGCACAACCCGGGGGACGUCAGCAGAGGCCUCGGGCAGACGGUCUCAGAGCCUCCAGGGGGACCCGGCCCUGCUGAGUCCCCGAUUUGAGGCUUCCGUCCUCCAGGAUGGCCAGAGAACAAGUUUCUUUUGUUGCGGGCAACCCUGGCUUGGGGUCAUCGGUGACAACAGCCCCAGGACAUAACACCGCUUCCCCCCUGUGGCCAAGCAGCACCCCUGCAGGGGCCGGAACCACUCACUUCAAUGUAAGCCACGUCGCUCAGGAGGUGAAAGAAACGCUGCCUGGAACUCUCCAUCUUCACCUCCAGGAAGCGGUCCUUUGUCUUCUGGAAAGCAAGGCCUUGAUCCUGAUUCGCUCGCAGCCUCUCACGGAGCAGAAGGCGAACCUCUCCCUCUCGUUCUGGGCUCUCAGCUUCAGGAACAACAGCCUGCGUGCGGGGGUCACGGCCGGGCUCGCUCAGGCGUUCGCCACCCUCCUCCCCCUCUGUCUUCACGUCACCUCCCAAGCCCCGCGGUGAGACCCACGGGCCUUACGAGAUGGCCACCAGGCCGUGUCUGCCACGGGGUCACGUGUGGUCGAAGAGAGAAACGAGCACCCGGGCGUCAGAGCUCGCAACGCCAACGGGGACCGUUUUCUGGGCACGUGCCCUAUGCCACGCUCCACGCAGGCCGUGAGUGGACACGCCAUCUCGCGUAACCCUCAGACGGUCCCGUCCGGCAGGUGCCGUCACCGCCCUGCUUUCUCGGACUCCGAGCAGCUGACUGACCCGGGACCACACGGCAGGACGGUCACGGAGCCGGGCCACCCCGUCACUGUGCCUGAAACAACCUUCCAGGCUGACUCCCACGCCUGCAGCAUUCGAAAGGCUGUUCCCGGGCCGACCCCUCUCUGGGAGCCGCCUGCGCCCGGACGGCCCGGCGAGCUGGGUUCGCGCCAUGAUGCCACGACCUCCACCCACCGCCGCCCAGCCGGUCGUGCCAGGGAAGCACCUGGACGCGCAGAGGGGCCGAUCGAGACUUCAGAGGGGCCCCAGGGAGGGGACCGGACAGCUCCCUUUUCUCCACAGACACUCUAUCCCUGUUAUCCCUCCACUGAGCAGCGCCUAGUGCCGUCCAGCAAAGGCUUAGCAGCUUGGAAAAUGUCACUGGCGGAUGGAACCUGAGUUCGGCCCCUGAGUCGAAGCCCUUGGGAAAGCGUUCUCCGUCAAAGGCAGGACCCAAAAAGGAAACACGACAGGACAGUUACGAGAGAUUAUUCCAGAGCGUCUGGUUAACAUCUGACAACGGGCCCCGCUUUCAAAGGAAUGUUCUCGAGGAGCCCUUUUAAGGAUGCGUGAAUGGACGGCUGGGGGUGCGGCCAUCGCCGUUCUGCGCGAUCCCGCGGACGCCUUCUCAACAAAGGGCUCCGUCCGGGACACAGCGGUGGAAACACGGGAGGAGUCUGCUUAACAGUCCGAUGGCGGACUGUGGGGGGUGGGGAUGGGGGGAGAGCGAACUGGCUAAUCCUGUGCGCGCAGCCCCCUCGCCCCUGCUGCUGUCCUGCCUGCGUCUGGGAGGCAGCUUUGGGCACGCUCCUUCUCUGUCUGCCUCCAGAGGUCUGGCCCCCGUGGCCAGGCCCCGUGUCACUACGCCCUGCACGAAGGAGUGCCGUCCUGCUUCAGAGAAGUCCCUGAAAGCAAGACUACGAGCUCUCGGGUCCCAGGGACCCAAGAGCCGCGUUGUUUUGGGCCCGCCUCGGUGGAAAUCUUGGCGUCCUGCCCUGUGGCACGGCCCCUGUGCAGGCGACACCACCAUGGCCGUGGCCAGCACAGCAGCGCAAAACUGGGCACGCGGGAGGGAGGGGUGGUCUCCCCGGUACUGCCUACGGGACGGAAAGAGGAGCUUCGGCUGCCCGUGGCACGGGGCCGUCCCGAGAACCAAAGCUUUAAGGGUGUGUUACGGCACGGCGGAAGCUGUAAAGGGAAGGGGGGAGAUUAUGAGUAAUGAUUAAGCAGUGGCCGGUCAGGAGAACCGGGCGGGUGCUGACAGAGCUUUUGCACAGAAGACAAGCCCCGUGUGGGGGAGACAGGGUGCGGGGGGAGAUCCAGGCCUGGUUUCGCCAGCACCCUCGCCUCCCUGUGCCCACCUGGCCCUGCGGCCCCUUCCCCUCUCUGGCACCCGCUCGCUCUCCCGCCUCUCCCGGACCCCAGGCCGCCUUCCGGCUCCUUUCUCACCCACCCUCCGGUCCUGACGUCCACAGCGUCCGCCUGUAUGGUAAUCGUGAGGACAGCUUCUUCGUACACGUCCCCUGCCGGCCCCGGGCCUCCCCUCCUACUUAAUGCUGCCGUUUAUUCCUGCUCGUUUAUUCACCAUCAGCCAAAUAACAGCUAAUGCCAGCGUCGUCAUAGCUAGCUGGUAUUUUCGGCUCCGUCGUGUCCCAGGUGCCGUUCCCCACGACGGCCGUCGGCCACGUGUGGCCCCCCGAGCCCCGGAAACGUGGCCGGUGUGGCUGAGGACCCACCUGGGUUUUAAAUUUUGAUGAAACCUCAAGCCCAAAGCAGUGUAAAAUAUUUCCCCACCGCACGUGACUUUAUCCUUUUGGGGAGCUAGGACUAGCUUUCGCUUCGUCGAAAGUCUGCUUCCAAGCUGAGCGGGCUCGAAGUGGAAACCGUGUCGUGGAUUUCGAAGACUUAGAGGAGGAAAGAUUACAUCCAGGAAAAGUACCUCACUAACGAUUUUUACAAAUCGAUUGCGUGUCGAGAUGAUAGGAUUUUGAGUACGCUAAGUUAAAAUAUAUUAUUACGAUUAAUUUCCCCUGUUUCUUUUUCCUUUUUCACAGGGCCUCUGGAAAAUUUAGGACCACGGGGCUGGUUUGCGUCACGUUUCCGGCGGAUGGGGCCGGCGACGCACUUUGCAUCCGUCAUAUGAACCUCAGGCCCGCCAUCUCAGAAGGAGGUUCGACUAUUAUCCUGAUUUCACAGAUGAGGACACUGAGGCUCCAACAGUCGUCACCCACGGGUCUGGUUCCACAUGUGUCCGCGUCUUUGCACUGACUCCAGGCACUGGGGCCUGACUUGAAUCCGAGUGACCUCCCAGUGCCCUCCUCCUAGGCAUCCUGCUUUCUGCCUACAACGUGGUUUUCACUUGGAUUUUUUGAAAAUGCCACCGGGUGGGGAGGAUAAAGAAAAAGGAAAAGAGGAGAAGGAAACUUGACUCUCUCUCUGAUCGGCAUGGAGCCGGGCAUACAGUAGGCGCUCGCUCCUGCUGAGGGGCUGGUGACACCAGGGGUGCCCUUGCUUCCCCACCUGUGCGUAGCGCCCGCUGCAGAUGGCCCCUCUCCAGUCGGGGACGUUGAUGCAGUCCGGGUGCCGGACCAGCCAGUUGUCGUCCUUGGUGAGGUAGGACCCCGGGUACUCGGACACAGAGCCGUCGACAUCAUGGAACACGGACGUCUUAUCCCCAUCCAUGUCCAGCUGGUUGAACCAGGGCCCCGGCUCUCCGAAGAACACUCUGGAAGUAAUCUAAACAGAGCCCCGGGAAGUGAGGCUGGGCCAGAGGUGAAGGGAGACUGCAGCCCGCUCACCGGCCUCCACUCCAGACCCAACGCAUUCGUUUGGCCUCUGCUCACACGAGGCCCGGCUGCUGUGGGUGACCCUGGAGAGUGCUCUGAGGUGCGGGCUCAAAGCCUGCAGAGAGGAGGGUCACAGGAGUGUGUGUGUGUGUGCGCGUGCACAAGUGUGAGAGGGGGAGAGAGGUGUGUGUAUGAGAAAGCACACACACGUGGGGCAACGUGUGAGAGAGGACCGUGUGCUGUAUGUCUAAGAGGGGGGUGUGUGCACCUGUUUGAGGAGGACGGUCUGUCGACACGAGCCCGUGGCGGGCUCUGUGACUGACCUCUCCCAGGCCUUGGUGGCCUGAGUAAAGAAAUGAAGUCACAAGUUCUCACGCCUUUCCCUUCAGCCCGCCGGCACGAGGCAGACGAGCAAAGGGCAAGACCAGAGUGGAGGAGAAGGAAGAAAGUUCUGGGGGAUCCAGAGCCCAGAGAAAGCAUCCCAGGUCCCUCCCAGCCUCAAAGUGCCACCUUCCGUCCCGCCCUCCUCACCCCCAGCUCUUCAUUGGCACCUGUCUGUGCCCAGGAAGACCCCAUUUGUGGUGCCCUCUCAGAGAGACAUGAGCGCCUUGGAAACCCUGGGAUUGGAGAUUAACUGACCAACCCAGGUGGCCCUGUCACAAGACUCCAUAGUCAAAACCGAGGCCUGUGGAGGAACAGCCUCAGGACCUUGUGUCUGGAGGGAGGCUGUGCUGAGGCUCUGGGGGGCUCGGGGCAGGGGGAGGGCAAGUGGGACGCAGCCAGACCUGACCUGUAGGGCAACCUACACUUGUACUUUUCCAGCUUGGAUGCGGACGGGCUGGGGCGCGGCCCAGCCUGCUUGGAGGAAGUCGUUCGCUCCCUGCGGUGGUGGCAACGGCUCAAACUCCAGCCCCGGGGGACUUGUGAAUCACCGCCCAAAGUCUGGAUUUGCCCAGAGCCUGCCCCAGCACCUCACUCACCGGGACAUCCUCAAAGGCAAUGUUGGUCACAUUGUUAUGGGGGCAGCUCUGCCAGGCGUUGUUCAGCCGGAAGGCCAGGGCACUGGUGUGCCGGCCCUCCAGGGCCACAAACUUGCGGAAGGUGCAGUUCUGGAUGUUGAUGGGGCCGUCAUAGAACUGAAUUCCUCGGAUCGGAAAAUUCCUACAGAGUUAAGGAAGUGAGAGGUCAGCCUGUUCGCCACGUUAUGCCACCGAGUUGUUUGCACCCUUCAAGGCGGAUGGAAACAGAGACUUUCUGGGUAAACCGUCCUGAUCCCCACCUCCUGCCACUCCUCGCUGCAGGGCAUUAUUGAUUCAUUCAUCAGUUCAUGAGAAAGUAUUUGUAGACACAGUAAAUGUCAAUAAAUGAUUGCUAGAUGA